rnacentral:rRNA from 1 species
AGCGAACGCUGGCGGCAGGCCUAACACAUGCAAGUCGAACGAAGUCUUCGGACUUAGUGGCGGACGGGUGAGUAACACGUGGGAACGUGCCUUUAGGUUCGGAAUAACUCAGGGAAACUUGUGCUAAUACCGAAUGUGCCCUUCGGGGGAAAGAUUUAUCGCCUUUAGAGCGGCCCGCGUCUGAUUAGCUAGUUGGUGAGGUAAAGGCUCACCAAGGCUACGAUCAGUAGCUGGUCUGAGAGGAUGACCAGCCACAUUGGGACUGAGACACGGCCCAAACUCCUACGGGAGGCAGCAGUGGGGAAUCUUGCGCAAUGGGCGAAAGCCUGACGCAGCCAUGCCGCGUGGAUGAUGAAGGUCUUAGGGUUGUAAAGCUCUUUCACCGAUGAAGAUAAUGACGGUAGUCGGAGAAGAAGCCCCGGCUAACUUCGUGCCAGCAGCCGCAGUAACAC